rnacentral:rRNA from 1 species
UAAGGAAUAUUGGUCAAUGGACGCAAGUCUGAACCAGCCAUGCCGCGUGGAGGAUGAAGGCCCUCUGGGUUGUAAACUUCUUUUACAGGGGACGAAACACUCUUAUUCUUAGGAGCUUGACGGUACCCUGGGAAUAAGCACCGGCUAACUCCGUGCCAGCAGCCGCGGUAAUACGGAGGGUGCAAGCGUUAUCCGGAUUCACUGGGUUUAAAGGGUGCGUAGGCGGGCUUGUAAGUCCGUGGUGAAAUCUCUGAGCUUAACUCGGAAACUGCCAUGGAUACUAUGGGUCUUGAAUACUCGGGAGGUGAGCGGAAUAUGUCAUGUAGCGGUGAAAUGCUUAGAUAUGACAUAGAACACCAAUUGCGAAGGCAGCUUGCUACAGAGUUAUUGACGCUGAGGCACGAAAGCGUGGGGAUCAAACAGGAUUAGAUACCCUGGUAGUCCACGCCCUAAACUAUGGAUACUCGACGUUGGCGAUAUGACUGUCAGCGUCUGAGCGAAAGCAUUAAGUAUCCCACCUGGGAAGUACGACCGCAAGGUUGAAACUUAAAUGAAUUGACGGGGUCAUAG